CCUACGGGAGGCAGCAGUGAGGAAUAUUGGUCAAUGGGCGCGAGCCUGAACCAGCCAAGUAGCGUGAAGGAGGACUGCCCUACGGGUUGUAAACUUCUUUUAUAAGGGAAUAAAGUGAGGCACGUGUGCCUUUUUGUAUGUACUGUAUGAAGAAGGAUCGGCUAAAUCCGUGCCAGCAGCCGCGGUAAUACGGAGGAUCCGAGCGUUAUCCGGAUUUAUUGGGUUUAAAGGGAGCGUAGAUGGGUUGUUAAGUCAGUUGUGAAAGUUUGCGGCUCAACCGUAAAACUGCAAUUGAUACUGGCAGUCGUGAGUACAGUUGAGGUAGGCGGAAUUCGUGGUGUAGCGGUGAAAUGCUUAGAUAUCACGAAGAACUCCAAUUGCGAAGGCAGCUUACUAACCUGCCACUGACAUUGAUGCACGAAAGUGUGGGUAUCAAACAGGAUUAGAUACCCUUGUAGUC
rnacentral:rRNA from 1 species